rnacentral:rRNA from 1 species
UACGGAGGGGGCUAGCGUUGUUCGGAAUUACUGGGCGUAAAGCGCGCGCAGGCGGUCAUCUACGUCUGGGGUGAAAGCCCGGAGCUCAACUCCGGGAUUGCCUUGGAUACGGGAUGACUUGAGGAUCGGAGAGGCAAGGGGAAUUCCACGUGUAGCGGUGAAAUGCGUAGAGAUGUGGAGGAACACCUGUGGCGAAGGCGCCUUGCUGGCCGAUUUCUGACGCUGGAGGCGCGAAAGCUAGGGGAGCAAACAGG